CUCAUCAUUCCCUCAUGCCUUACAAGUCACGACUCACCACUCCCUCACGCCGCCUCACAGUCACCUUUGCCCCGAGUCCCUCCCUCUCCCUCACGUUAGUGACUCAGCCGAGUGCAGAGUGCUGAUUCGGUUCACCUCUACCCUCACCUCAUCGAGUCCCUUUCCUUCACAGUCAUCGCCUCACGUGUCAUCUACCCUCACUCCCCCUCUCGACUGCCGACUCGAGUUCCUCUCCCUUACGCCACCUCUCCCUCUCACGAGUUGAAUCCCUCUCCCUCACAAGCACCGCCUCACAUCACCUCUCCUUUUCACGAGUUCCUCUCCUUCACACUGACUCGAGUUCUCAUCUCACCCUCACGGCCUCACCCCCAUCGCCGUCACCCAUCCCACCUACCAAACUCCAGUCUGCCAUCCAUCCACCAAACUUGCUCCCUUACCGACGUUCGAUCAGUUUUCCUUGGUGUCCCUCUGUCAGGUCUAUCGUCUGAAGCAUUGCCGACGUAUUUUCGUUCCAAUGUGGAAUUUGAAAAUGACUCAAUCAAAUAAUAAUGAGUUAGAACAAGGUGGUUCAACUUCAACAUCUAUAACAUGAGCGAAUCAACCCCAAUAAAUAGUGUUUCUAGUGGAAUCAUCCCUUACAAAGUUGGAUGAAAUUCGUUGAUGACGGCUUGGUUUGGCUAUGUUAUUGUCGUGUUAUUGUCAUGUUAUGUCUUAAACAAAUAUUUUGUUAUUGUCAUGUUGUAACUUUUCUUAAAAUAAUGGAUGGAUGUUUUUAUUUUUUAAGUUUAAGUUGAACUUUAGAGAAUAAUUGAUGGAUUAUGAAUGAAUGUUUUUAUUA